AAGUCGUAACAAGGUUUCCGUAGGUGAACCUGCGGAAGGAUCAUUAACAAAGUUUAUGGUAUGUUCUUACUUUAUGUUUGCAAAGACAUAAAGUAAGGCAUCACCACUUAUCCCACCUUUGUGCACUUGUUUAUUGUUUUUGGCGUUAUUUCAUUUCUUUUUUUUUUAUACUUUGGUUUUUGAAUUAAAAUCAAGGGAAGAAAAAAAAAUGGAAUACGCCGCACAAUUUUAUACUACCCAUAGUUAUUUUAUACCGUACUUUUCACUUGCUUGUGCUUUUAAUGGCCCAAGUAUAUUUAACGAAAAAUACAACUUUUGACAACGGAUCUCUUGGCUCUC
rnacentral:misc_RNA from 1 species